rnacentral:lncRNA from 1 species
UCCAACCCGACCCAAUUUCAAACUCUAUUUGAAAUCUCACCCAUUAUUUUGCUUUCUGUAUUUAUAUUUAUCCCAACCAAAGCAUUCUCAAAUACAAUAUUUCAUUAUGUACGACUUUCUGUUACGAAAUAUUCGCUUUAUUCAUUAGAAAUAUAAUCUAAACUCUCAAUCUGCGCCGUUCAUUUCUAGUGCGUCGUUUUUCCUCACUACAUGCCAUGACUCGAGGUAUCUUUUCUAAAAAGCCCUUCCCAUUCUUGUCAACUUGACCAAAGAAUAUCUCCCUUCCCUUUUCUAUUUUUUCUAUUUUUCUUGUUUCUAGAUUUGAUUUUCUGACACAAACACCAGUUUUAUAUAAUUGGUAUUAUUUUUUCUUAUUUAUAAUAAUCCAUUUUUUUCUUGUAGUUAAUGAUCUUAUUAUUAUGCUAUUAAUUAAUAAUUA